UUUAAGUCCUCUUUUUGCNA
rnacentral:tRNA from 1 species